UAUGUGUUGCUGCAGUUGAAAGCUCGUAGUUGGGAGUUGAAUAGUUUGGUGGGUGGUUCGGGUUUGGGAUUCUGUCCCUGCCUGUUAAAUUCACUCUGUGUUGCCCCCACCACUUCUACUUUUUUGUUCAUGUAAGUUGAGACUCCUCAAUCUACAUUUGAACGUGUUACUUUGAGUAAAUCUGAGUGUUCAAAGCAGACGGAAAUCAUCCGUCUUGAAAGUUGUAGCAUGGAAUAACGUGAUAGGACUCCGGUGGCCCUUUUCAGUUGGUCUAAGCCGUUCCGGAGUAAUGACUAAGAGGGACAGUCGGGGGCACUCGUACUUCCUUGUCAGAGGUGAAAUUCUUGGAUUUAGGAAAGACGAACCACUGCGAAAGCAUUUGCCAAGGAUGUUUUCAUUAAUCAAGAACGAAAGUUGGGGGCUCGAAGAUGAUCAGAGACCGUUGUAGUCCUAUUGACUGUAAACGAUGCCGACUGGGGAUCUGGGGUGUUAGUUAAUUGGCGUAUGGGAGUAGGGGGGUCCACCCUUCCUACCCCAAUCGCCCUCCCAGGCACCCUCCGAGAAAUCAAAGUGUAUGGGUUCCGGGGGGAGUAUGGUCGCA
rnacentral:rRNA from 1 species